AUGAAAAUACCCCUUAAGAAUAAAAUCUUUGCGUGGUAUCUUCGUCGCGGAGUCAUUCUUACUAAAGAUAACCUUAUUAAGAGGAAUUGGCAUGGAAGUACGCAAUGUGUAUUUUGUCUGCAUGAUGAGACAAUAAAACAUUUGUUCUUUCAUUGUAAAUUGGCUCGUUCUAUAUGGUCAGUCAUCCAGAUAGCUUCUGGCUUGUAUCCUCUGUGUAGUGUUGCUAAUAUAUUUGGCAACUGGUUACAUGGGACUGAUCACAAGUUUAGAAUUCUUCUCAGGGUGGGAGCGCUUGCCGUGAUUUGGUCGCUUUGGCUAUGUAGAAAUGAUAAGAUUUUUAAUGAUAAAAGUACUUCCCUUAUGCAGGUUAUCUACAGAUGUACCGGGACGCUUCGUUUAUGGUCCUCUCUACAGCGAGUGGAGAAUCGAGACCUGUUUACGGAGGUGUGUACAUGA
rnacentral:rRNA from 1 species